UACGAAGGGGGCUAGCGUUGCUCGGAAUUACUGGGCGUAAAGCGCACGUAGGUGGCGACGUAAGUCGGGUGUGAAAGCCCCGGGCUCAACCUGGGAAUUGCAUUCGAGACUGCAUUGCUGGAGUACGGAAGAGGAAGGCGGAAUUCCCGGUGUAGCGGUGAAAUGCGUAGAUAUCGGGAGGAACAUCAGUGGCGAAGGCAGCUCGCUGGGACGUGACUGACGCUGAGACGCGAAAGCGUGGGGAGCAAACAGG
rnacentral:rRNA from 1 species